UACGGAGGGGGCUAGCGUUAUUCGGAAUUACGGGGCGUAAAGCGCACGUAGGCGGCUUUGUAAGUCAGAGGUGAAAGCCUGGAGCUCAACUCCAGAACUGCCUUUGAGACUGCAUCGCUUGAAUCCAGGAGAGGUGAGUGGAAUUCCGAGUGUAGAGGUGAAAUUCGUAGAUAUUCGGAAGAACACCAGUGGCGAAGGCGGCUCACUGGACUGGUAUUGACGCUGAGGUGCGAAAGCGUGGGGAGCAAACAGG
rnacentral:rRNA from 1 species